UCUCCCUGAUGGUAACAGUUCAAAAUAUGAAUGUCCAGGAUGAGAACGGUUUGUGGAGAUUUUAGUGUUCUAGAGAAGAGUCUGGUCUUCGCAAUCUCUUCCAAAGAAAGGGACAACCA